rnacentral:rRNA from 1 species
UGGGGAAUUUUGGACAAUGGGCGCAAGCCUGAUCCAGCCAUGCCGCGUGAGUGAAGAAGGCCUUCGGGUUGUAAAGCUCUUUCGGUGGGGAAGAAAUUGCUUCGAUUAAUACUCGGAGUAGAUGACGGUACCCGCAUAAGAAGCACCGGCUAACUACGUGCCAGCAGCCGCGGUAAUACGUAGGGUGCGAGCGUUAAUCGGAAUUACUGGGCGGAAAGCGUGCGCAGGCGGUUGUAUAAGUCAGAUGUGAAAUCCCCGGGCUCAACCUGGGAACUGCAUUUGAGACUGUACGGCUAGAGUGUGGCAGAGGGGGGUGGAAUUCCACGUGUAGCAGUGAAAUGCGUAGAGAUGUGGAGGAACACCGAUGGCGAAGGCAGCCCCCUGGGCCAAUACUGACGCUCAUGCACGAAAGCGUGGGGAGCAAACA